CAGUAGCCGCGGGAAUACGGAGGGUGCAAGCGUUAAUCGGAAUUACUGGGCGUAAAGCGUGCGUAGGCGGUUCGUUAAGUCUGUUGUGAAAGCCCCGGGCUCAACCUGGGAACUGCGUUUGUGACUGUAGAGCUGGAGUGCGGCAGAGGGGGAUGGAAUUCCGCGUGUAGCAGUGAAAUGCGUAGAUAUGCGGAGGAACACCGAUGGCGAAGGCAAUCCCCUGGGCCUGCACUGACGCUCAUGCACGAAAGCGUGGGGAGCAAACAGGAUUAGAUACCCCCGUAGUCCCUGUCUCUUAUAC
rnacentral:rRNA from 1 species